UUGCAGUCGAACGAUGAUGCCCAGCUUGCUGGGUGGAUUAGUGGCGAACGGGUGAGUAACACGUGAGUAACCUGCCCCUGACUCUGGGAUAAGCGUUGGAAACGACGUCUAAUACUGGAUACGACUGCCGGCCGCAUGGUCUGGUGGUGGAAAGAUUUCUUGGUUGGGGAUGGACUCGCGGCCUAUCAGCUUGUUGGUGAGGUAAUGGCUCACCAAGGCGACGACGGGUAGCCGGCCUGAGAGGGUGACCGGCCACACUGGGACUGAGACACGGCCCAGACUCCUACGGGAGGCAGCAGUGGGGAAUAUUGCACAAUGGGCGAAAGCCUGAUGCAGCAACGCCGCGUGAGGGAUGACGGCCUUCGGGUUGUAAACCUCUUUUAGUAGGGAAGAAGCGAAAGUGACGGUACCUGCAGAAAAAGCACCGGCUAACUACGUGCCAGCAGCCGCGGUAAUACGUAGGGUGCAAGCGUUGUCCGGAAUUAUUGGGCGUAAAGAGCUCGUAGGCGGUUUGUCGCGUCUGCUGUGAAAUCCCGAGGCUCAACCUCGGGCUUGCAGUGGGUACGGGCAGACUAGAGUGCGGUAGGGGAGAUUGGAAUUCCUGGUGUAGCGGUGGAAUGCGCAGAUAUCAGGAGGAACACCGAUGGCGAAGGCAGAUCUCUGGGCCGUAACUGACGCUGAGGAGCGAAAGCAUGGGGAGCGAACAGGAUUAGAUACCCUGGUAGUCCAUGCCGUAAACGUUGGGCGCUAGAUGUAGGGACCUUUCCACGGUUUCUGUGUCGUAGCUAACGCAUUAAGCGCCCCGCCUGGGGAGUACGGCCGCAAGGCUAAAACUCAAAGGAAUUGACGGGGGCCCGCACAAGCGGCGGAGCAUGCGGAUUAAUUCGAUGCAACGCGAAGAACCUUACCAAGGCUUGACAUACACCGGAAACGGCCAGAGAUGGUCGCCCCCUUGUGGUCGGUGUACAGGUGGUGCAUGGUUGUCGUCAGCUCGUGUCGUGAGAUGUUGGGUUAAGUCCCGCAACGAGCGCAACCCUCGUUCUAUGUUGCCAGCGGGUUAUGCCGGGGACUCAUAGGAGACUGCCGGGUCACUCCGAGAGAGGUGGGGGAGACGUCAAAUCAUCAGGCCCCUUAUGUCUGGGCUU
rnacentral:rRNA from 1 species